GCAGGAUGGCGGGUCCGUUCUCAGCACCGCCGCUGGAGGGCCUUAGGGUUUCACCACUAGGGGUGGUUCCCAAGAAGGAGAUCGGGAAGUUUCGGCUCAUUCACCACCUGUCCUAUCCUAGGGGAGCGUCGGUGAAUGACGAUAUCGAUGGGGACUUGUGCUCGGUCUCUUAUGCAUCAUUCGACCAAGCGGUCGAGCUGGUUAAGAGGGCCGGGCGCGGGGCUUUACUGGCCAAGGUGGAUAUCGAAGCUGCUUUUCGAUUGCUUCCGGUUCAUCCGGCUUGUCACCACCUACUGGGGUGCUUCUUCGAAGGGGGUUACUUCGUGGACUUAUGUCUCCCGAUGGGCUGCUCCAUUUCGUGCUCCUAUUUUGAGAAGUUCAGUACCUUUCUCGAAUGGGUAGUGCGGGUGGAGUUGGGGAACG